rnacentral:misc_RNA from 1 species
AAAACCGGAUGUUGAUAUUAAAGGGGAGAGGGUGGACAACCGAGUCAUGCCUUGUGGUGUCAGCUCUUGACAGGGUGAAUAAAUGGAUAUUCAUCAAAUCAAACCACUUGAAGGUGAUGAACAUGUUAACCUCAGUCUCAACUCAGGUGACUUUGGGGUAGGAGAUGCAUCGAGGACGACCCCCUCUCCUGUGGUGGAACCGCUGCAGGGGAGUAGGGGCGGAGACUCGCCGUCUGAGUCGGUGAGGGGGACAACUUGGUACAUCGCACCCAGUCUCACAGAGGUGGACACCGCUGCCAACGAAGUACAUGAUCAGUUUGCAGGGUUAGACCUGGUUACUAUUUUACAAGCUGUAGUGUUUAUUGAAGAUGCUUACAAGUACCGGUCAAUAUGCCACAAGUUGGAAAUUCCUGUUCUCCACCUGUACAGAAGCUAUCUCUCCACACCUGUCAAGAUAUUCCGCUAUGUUGUGAUAUUUAUACUCCACAUUCUGGUGAUAUUUGAAUACCCAUCCUCUCUCACUCUCACCUCUGAUAUACGCUUCCGAGCCAGUCGCCUCAUUGUGCCCUGCUGGCUGACGGAGGGCAUCGAGAUCUUGUGCCUCCUGCUCUUGCUGGCAGACACAGUCAUCAGGGGCUAUGUGAUGGGCAAGCACUACUUCUGGAGACACAAGUGGCUGGUGGCUGGCUCCAUCAUCAUCGCUGUGUCCCUGCUGGACUGGUCCGUGUCAGUCGGUCUAGGAUGUCAGGAGUACAUCCGGUUCCGGAGAAUACUGCGACCCUUCUUCAUACUACAGAACUCCACCAUCAUGAAGAAAACCGUCAACUGUCUGAGAAGAACUCUGCCGGAAGUGGCCAGUGUGCUGGCUCUGCUUGGUCUCCACAUCUAUCUCUUCACGCUGUUCGGAAUGCUGCUCUUUCCUAAGAUCCAGACCUCUGCAAACAAUGGCACCACAAAUGUAUCCGGUGAUGAGCAGAAUUCUUCCAUCAUCACAACCAGUCAAACACAAGAGUCGAUGUAUUUCCGCACCCUGCUGGACUCCUUCAUGAGUUUGCUGGUGCUGCUGACUACUGCCAACAACCCAGACGUGACGAUGCCUGCCUACCAGACCAACCGACUGUAUGCGCUGUUCUUCAUCCUGUUCCUCGUCAUAGGCCUCUACUGCUUCAUGAACAUGUUGACAGCUGUGAUCUACAACCAGUUCCGGGGCUACUUCCUGAAUUCCAUGCAAGCAAGUUUUUUUCGGCGACGUCUUGGUGUGAGAGCUGCAUUUGAAGUCUUGAGACGGCGUAAACUGAGUUUCCGGCACAAUUCCUGUCUCCCAUCUGUAAGCACGGAGGUGGGGGCACCCGUUGUGAAAGCUGUCGUGCAGAGAGCCUUUCUGUCCAAGCCUGUCAAGCAUGCUCUCCUGCAGGAACUGAUGCAGGAUCCCCAGGGGUCGUACUCUGCCACUGAAUUCCAGACACUGUUUGAGGAGCUGGAGAGAGAACAUGCAAAGAAUCAGAGGCCGGACGUGCGGUGGUUUGAAAAUCCAAUAUUGAGAAGGAUACAGAGGGUGUUCGUCCACAAUUACUUCUCCUACUUCGGUAGUUUCAUCGCCGUCGCUAACGUCAUUGUCAUCUCUGUGCAGCUUGAUACUCGCUACGACGAGUCAAUCAGUUCCAGUAAUUCUUUGUUGAGGGUGACCAACUUCACGUUUGUCAUCUACUACUUUGUGGAACAGACACUCAAAGUGUGGGCCAUGGGUCCGCGGCGCUACAUCUGGUACUACACCAACAUCUUUGAUGCUCUCAUCACCAUGGCAUUAGUGGUAGGAGAGAUAUUCACAGCAGUCCAGUAUGGAAUCCCCUACUCUUCAAGCCACACACAUGCCACCACCUCCAAGUUGUGGAACGUCGUGCGCUUCAUCAACAUCCUCAUCAUGGUCAGGCUCUUCCGCAUCAUCCCCCACAUCAAGGCCACCUCUGUGAUAGCAAGCACCCUCAUUGACCUGGUGAAGAACCUGAAAGCCUUUGCAGGUAUCCUUGUGGUGAUCUACUACUCCUUCGCUAUAGUGGGGAUGGAGCUGUUCCAUGACGUCAUCAAGUACCAGGCACCGAUCUCCAAGAAUGAAACCAACAGCUCCAGCUUCCAGUGUGGCUCCUACCAGCAGCUGGAGUACUGGGCCAACAACUUCGAUGACUUUGCUGCAUCUGUGGUGGUGUUGUGGGACAUCAUGGUGGUGAAUAACUGGAUGGUCUUCCUUGCUGCCUUCAGACAGGCAACAUCUCCGUGGGCGUACCUGUUCUUUAUAGCCUGGUGGCUGCUGACCGUUGUCAUCGUUCUCAAUCUGUUCACGGCUCUCAUCCUGGAGAACUUCAUCAUGAAAUGGGACAAGAUCCUGCACACCUCCCGUGAUCGCUCUGAAUCCGGACAAGUUGAAGAGGCCAAUCAUCUCAUGUCUGUACAUGAAAUGUUCCGAGGUUUGCUGCAAGAACCAGCUGAGAAUGAGCUCCUGGUGGAGUUGACCUCUCACAGAUAUCUCCAGCUGGACAGAUGACAAUCAGCAGGUGAUGGUUCUACAGGCACGACGGCAGUGUCACCAACGCCCAGACCAUCACCGCAACGUCAUCCGUCGGAAUCACGCCCCAUCUGACAAUGAGUGGACGACAGUGGACACCCAUGCAGAUGGCAAAGGGAUAUCUGUCUUAUUUUAUUCAGAAACAAAUAGGAAAUUCUGUAACGUGCAAUACUUACUAUUUUAGUGAUAUACAUGUGUUUAAUACACCUGCAUUGUCUUAUACUAUGUUUUUUUAAUUCAUAAUGUAAAACAUUUUAUGUUGCCUAUGUAUUUUAUUCCCUUUUAUUCUACUUUCUGUCAUAAUGUGUUUUUCCUUGAUUUUAGCCUCUGGCACAAUUUCUUCCAACUGUGUCAGUUUAUGUGUGAAUUACAGUAAAUAUUUAAGACAUGUGAAAAUUAUUAAUGAGCAAAAAAUGUAUUAUCCUUAGAAUUUAAUCUUUUUAAAUUUGUUUCAGUAUGAAAUGUAUUUCUAUGUCAAGCUGAGCUGUCAGUGUCCUAAAGGUAUCAGUACUUGGGUGUGAGUCCCCUGACAACAGAGCUGAAUCAUGAAAUGUGAAGCACUUGUAACUUAUGUGUCAUAUGGGGAGUGGGUUGCAUGUUUGUGUUUCUGGCUUGAAGGGAAGCCUGAUAACACAGGCUAUUGUUUCAGUUGUUCCACAUUUAUGUACAAAAUAAGACGGGUUAUGUGUCAGUUCACCUUAACUUCAGGGUCAUGUGAACAUCAGGUGACACAGUGUUGAACUUAACACUGACCCUGUCCCUGAGAUUGACCCUGACCCGACAUUGACAAUAACCCUAACCCUAACCCUGACACUGACAUUGACCCUGACCCUGACAUUGACCCUGACCCUGACCCUGACCCUGACACUGACCCUAACCCUAACCCUGACACUGACAUUGACCCUAACCCUGACAUUGACCCUGACCCUGACCCUGACCCUGUCUUGAGGCUUGAGUCAUUCUCUUUUAUGUGUAUAUAGUUAUAAAACCUACAUUUUUGUCUAUUUGAAGGAUAACAGACACCUUUUAUCACAACAAUAUAUAUCAGGAUAUUGAAAUGGCAGCAGACUUAGUUCUAUAUUUUUAAGAGUUUUAAUUCCUCAGGCAGUUGAAAUGAGGAACUAAUUUAUCUGGUUGUUUUUUUAAGUAAUGUCUAAAUUAAGACAGUUAAGACAACAAACUUACAACUCAUGGUUUUUGAACAGGCUGAAGAUGUAAUGUUGUCAGAGUAAUACCAUGCACAAUCAACCAGGUCACAGUUUAACCAGUCAAUUCCCUGUUAGUUGCCCCUCAGGACAAUAGCAUACCAUUCACUUACCACUCUUUACAUUGUACACACAAGAUCAAUAUCAAUUUUCUAGUAAGUUAGAGAUACAGAAUGUAUAUAUCUAUUUUAUUCUAUAUCUUACAUGACUGAAGAUGGUGGGAGAGCUACAGAAUCUACUGAGCCUCACUAUUUCACAGUGUCACUUUCUUCCUGAAACUCUGCAGGGUGACCCUGCUGUCUCACAUGCUUCAAUAAGCCGUGCAGUGUGCUAACCCUUAGUCAUACCAGAACCUGAUCAUUGUGUUCCAUUCCCAGCUUCCACGAAUGCUGUUCAUACUGGCAUUAAACCAAAUUAACAUGCUCACCCUACUACUUUACACGAAGGCUAUGUGAUAUUUAAUUUGAAAGAAAAGAACCAAAAAUAUACCUCAGCUUGCUGAAUUUGAAAAAAAGAGAUUGUGAGCUCAAUGAUAACUAUUAUGAUAAUGAUGUGAUAAUGACUACAAGACCUUCCUAGGUGCAGCAUAGUGGGAAGGUGCAGUAGGAAGGUGCAGCAUAGUGGAUGGGAAGGUGCAGUAGGAAGGUGCAGCAUAGUGGGAAGAUGCAGCAUAGUGGGAAGAUGCAGCAUAGUGGAUGGGAAGAUGCAGUAGGAAGGUGCAGCAUAGUGGGAAGAUGCAGCAUAGUGGGAAGAUGCAGCAUAGUGGGAAGAUGCAGCAAAGUGGGAAGGUGCAGCAUAGUGCGUGGGAAGGUGCAGUAGGAAGGUGCAGCAUAGUGGGAAGAUGCAGCAUAGUGGGAAGAUGCAGCAUAGUGGGAAGAUGCAGCAAAGUGGGAAGGUGCAGCAAAGUGGGUGGGAAGGUGCAGCAUAGUGCGUGGGAAGGUGCAGCAUAGUGGGUGGGAAGGUGCAGCAUAGUGGGAAGAUGCAGCAUAGUGGGUGGGAAGGUGCAGCAUAGUGGGUGGGAAGGUGCAGCAUAGUGGGAAGAUGCAGCAUAGUGGGUGGGAAGGUGCAGCAUAGUGGGUGGGAAGGUGCAGCAUAGUGGGUGGGAAGGUGCAGCAUAGUGGGAAGAUGCAGCAUAGUGCGUGGGAAGGUGCAGCAUAGUGGGUGGGAAGGUGCAGCAUAGUGGGAAGAUGCAGCAUAGUGGGAAGGUGCAGCAUCAUGGGUGGGAAGGUGCAGCAUAGUGGGAAGAUGCAGCAUAGUGGGUGGGAAGGUGCAGCAUAGUGGGUGGGAAGGUGCAGCAUAGUGGGAAGAUGCAGCAUAGUGGGUGGGAAGGUGCAGCAUAGUGCAUUGGAAGGUGCAGCAUAGUGGUUGGGAAGGUGCAGCAUAGUGGGAAGAUGCAGCAUAGUGGGUGGGAAGGUGCAGCAUAGUGCGUGGGAAGGUGCAGCAUAGUGGGUGGGAAGGUGCAGCAUAGUGGGAAGAUGCAGCAUAGUGGGAAGAUGCAGCAUAGUGGGAAGAUGCAGCUUAGUGGGUGGGAAGGUGCAGCAUAGUGGGAAGAUGCAGCAUAGUGGGUGGGAAGAUGCAGCAUAGUGAAUUGGAAGAUGCAGCAUAGUGGGUGGGAAGAUACAGCAUAGU